UACGAAGGGGCUAGCGUUGCUCGGAAUCACUGGGCGUAAAGCGCACGUAGGCGGCUUCUAAGUCAGGGGUGAAAUCCUGGAGCUCAACUCCAGAACUGCCUUUGAUACUGGAGAGCUUGAGUCCGGGAGAGGUGAGUGGAACUCCGAGUGUAGAGGUGAAAUUCGUAGAUAUCAGGAGGAACACCGGUGGCGAAGGCGGGUCUCUGGGCCGUAACUGCGCGAGGAGC
rnacentral:rRNA from 1 species